GUUACGUAGUGCGCGGGGGCGUGGGUAAUAGGUGGGGGGGAGGGGUUUUCCGGAAUUAUUGGGCGUAAAGAGCUUGGAGGCGGUUUGUCGCGUCUGCUGUGAAAAUCCGGGGCUCAACCCCGGACUUGCAGUGGGUACGGGCAGACGAGAGUAUGGUAGGGGAGACUGGAAUUCCUGGUGUAGCGGUGAAAUGCGCAGAUAUCAGGAGGAACACCGAUGGCGAAGGCAGGUCUCUGGGCCACUACUGACGCUGAGAAGCGAAAGCAUGGGGAGCGAACAGGAUUAGAUACCCUGGUAGUC
rnacentral:rRNA from 1 species